CUCUGCACAAUUGAUGUUUAUUGUAAUAAAUAAAGUGACACAGAGUAAAUAAAAGUAUGCAAGCAGUAUGAACAAAUUGAUUUUAAUUUUAAAAAAGUGAUAGAUUACAGUAUUUGGUGAGAUGGGAUAUUGUGCUGUACCAGGAUGUAAAAAUAACACAAGGUAUCAUGUAAAAAUGAACAUGCUUCCAAAGGAUAAAAGUAGACAAGCACAGUGGGUAAAAAAUGCUGGUCUAGAUAUUACAAAACUCAAUAAGCAAUCGUUUAUUUGUGAGAAAAAUAGAAUAUACCAGGAACCACCUCCAGAACUUGCACUAUUGUUGGAUAAAAAUAUGGCAUAUUUGAAGAGUAAAAAAAAGGCACAGGAAAAAAAACCUCUAGC